UGGGGAAUAUUGCACAAUGGGGGAAACCCUGAUGCAGCGACGCCGCGUGAAGGAAGAAGUAUCUCGGUAUGUAAACUUCUAUCAGCAGGGAAGACAAUGACGGUACCUGACUAAGAAGCCCCGGCUAACUACGUGCCAGCAGCCGCGGUAAUACGUAGGGGGCAAGCGUUAUCCGGAUUUACUGGGUGUAAAGGGAGCGUAGACGGAUCUGCAAGUCUGGAGUGAAAGCCCGGGGCUCAACCCCGGGACUGCUUUGGAAACUGUAGGUCUAGAGUGCCGGAGAGGUAAGCGGAAUUCCUAGUGUAGCGGUGAAAUGCGUAGAUAUUAGGAGGAACACCAGUGGCGAAGGCGGCCUGCUGGGCUUUAACUGACGCUGAGGCUCGAAAGUGUGGGGAGCAAACAGGAUUAGAUACCC
rnacentral:rRNA from 1 species